rnacentral:lncRNA from 1 species
CCCAUCCCCGGGGGCUCCUCCUAGUUCCUUCCCUGGGGUCCCUGCCCCGGGGCCCCUUCCCCAGCCCGGCUCUCUCAACGCCCCGCCCUUUUCCGGUUCCGCCCACCUCGGACCCCGCCCCAGGCCACUGGGUCGCUUCCCUCCGCGCAGUUGCCCCCAGACCCGGAAGUGGAUCGUGCGGAGCAAGCAUCACACCAUGGCGUAUGAGUGUUCCUCUGUGUAGAGUCAACCUGCGCCUCGCCGUCCCCAGUUCGCACACCCGAUGCCCCGGGGUUGCUACGGACUUAAAAUCUCCGCACCGCACCCUCCACCUCAGAAACAUUCCUGGAUCCGAACACUGCCCCCUCGAUGACCUAGAGAGAUCCUGGCUCCAGCCCACUGAGUGGCUUCAGCCUCGCUGGCACCUCCCAACUGCUGGCCCCUCUGCAUGAGGCGCCCACCCAGGCCCCGCCUGCAGGGAACCCAGCUCUUCUUGCAGAUUCCUGCAGCCUCUAGAAGCUGAUACUUGGAGUGAAGGCCUCACACGUGAGUUUCCCUCUGUUGAAGUUAAACUUGGCCUCCCCAGGCUCCUGCACAUCCAUACUUGAUUUCCAGGAGUCCUCAGAGACAUACAUACACAUGUAUGUGUAUAUAUAUAUAUAUAAAUUCAGAUAGGGUCUGGCUCUGUAGCCCAGACUGGGGUACUGUGGCGUGAUUGUAGUUCACUGCAACCUGGACCUCCUGGGCUCAAGUGAUCCUCCCAUCUCAGCCUCCUGAGUAGCUGGGACCGCCGGUGUGUACCACCACAUUUAAAUAAUUUUUUUAAUAUAUAUAUUUAGUAGAGAGGAGGUCUCACUGUGUUGCCUGAGCUGGUCUCGAACUCCUGGGCUCAAGUGAUCCUCCCGCUUUGACUGGAAUUACAUCCCACAAAGUGCUGGGAUUACAGACGUGAGCCAUCACUCUGGGUCCCAUAGACCUUAAUAUCCCUUCAUGGCUCUCUCAUCCCCAAGUAAAUUCAGAGAUGUCCAUGAGAGGUCAGGGGUCACUUCCCAUUGAACCACAGAGGCUGGUCCUGCUUGCAAUAUUUCUGCCUUCAGGCCAUGUAGACACCUUUCACGCCAUUUCUUGCUUAAAACUCUUUACUCACUUCCCACCCUGUGCCUUGCAAGGUCCUCACCCGCGAGGUGCAUUCACCCUUUGGAUCCCCUAAGCCUCACCCUUCAUUAUGUCUGCAUAACGAAGACAUAAUGCAGCUGCACUGCAGCUCCAGUGCAAGAGUCCUCGCCCUGGUCCUAGGAUUCCACAGAUCCCACCCCUCCUCUGAGACACCUGCCCAUCUUGCUCUCCUUAAGCCUUGCCCUCCACCCUGCAGGCCUCCCCCUCAUAAGCAUGGCUUCCUCUGACCCAGCGUUGAAGGAGGUGGCUUGGGCCUGUCUGUUCACCUCCAAUGUU